GUUUUUGUUUCUUACCAACCUCCAAAGUGAAAUGUCGAUGAGGCCGGUGUUGGCAGCAACAAGGCCCAAGAGUUGGUGGCAGCUUUUGUGUGUAUAUAUUUUGGGCAUCUCAUUACCUAAGCAUUUGCAAGUUUUUACAGUUUUGAAGGGUAGGUAGGACUGAGUGAAUAUAUCAGUAGUUACUUAACUUCAUUUGAAUCAAUUUUUCUCUGCCAUUCCUCUUCUCCUUUCUCUCAAUUCACUCUAAUCAUCACCAACAUGAAUCCUCUCCAUUCUUAGCAAUUUCCCUCACCGAUAACACACUAGAAUAACCAUGAUUCUAAUGCCCCUAAUGCUGCGUUCACUGGUGAAGCUGGCAACAGCACUAGUGUGUGAACCCACAGCAACUGUGACAACCAUUCUCUAUUACGGCAAUUUGCUUCCCCGCAAUCUUGUUAACUUGGAGCGAUUGGUGCGACGAGAAUUUCUUCACCCAGAAAACCAUUUUUUCCAUUUUCUCAUCACUAUGUUGAGGUGUGUCUGGUAGAUAGAAAUGACAUGAUGGGUUCAGGUGUUUCACAAAGGAAAUUAGUACAUGAGUUUGUUGAGGGAACCAAAUUAAUGUGUGUACUUUUUGGGGCAGUCCAUGUGGUAGCACAGUGCCUAAGUUUAGAUGUUUCAGGCACAUUCAAGUUGUUACCCUUGUCGGCAUUUUAUAUUUUCUUUGCGAUUUUAGGUUUCUUACCAUUUCACAUGCAUUGAGGAUUUCAUCAUGGGAGAUAUUUUUUCUUUAAGUUUGAUUUUUUAGAAUUGCAUUUUUCUUUUUUGGUUUGUAGACUAAUUUCUUUUAAAAUAUAGAGAUUAUUGAAAUGAAUUUUGUCACUUUGUUA